GUGCUCGCUUUAGCAGCACGUAUGCUAGAAGUGUAAUAAUACAGAGAAGAUUUGCAUGGCCCCUGUGCAAAGAUGACAUGAAAAUGAAAACACAAUGGUCCAAAAUCUUU
ensembl:snRNA U6 U6 spliceosomal RNA